rnacentral:lncRNA from 1 species
AUAUAUUAUAUCAUAAUACAUUGAUAGAUUAUGUUAUAUAAUAUCAAAUUAUGUUAUAUUAUUAUGCUAUAAUAUACAAUAUUAUAUUAUAAUAAUAUUUUAUUAUAUUAUAGUAAUAUUUUACUACAUUAUAUAUUUAUGUAUAAAUAUAUAUUAUAUUUUAUUAUGCUCUAUUGUAUAAUAUUAUGCAAUGUUCUUUAUGGUCAUUUUAUCAUACCAAAAGUACUUUCUCAGUUUGUUUACCAAAUAUAUAUUAAAGUCUCACAGCACUUUAGAAAUGUAGCUACCAAAUAGCAAAUAGCUUUUUAUAAAAACUCUACUUCAAAAAGCUCUACUUUCGAAAGCUCUACUGCCAACAACUCUGCCAAACGGGGUCUAAACCUUUUACCAAGGUUGCAAUAUAACCCCUCAUGGAAGGAAAGCUGGGGAUCUCUUUGGGCGGCAGGCCUUUCACGUCUUUAUCCUUGGGUGAUUUCCUUUCCUUGAAUCUAAAUACAUCAUCCAUAGAUGGACGAAGAGAUUGGAUCAUGGUUACCUAAAUGAUUAGGUGGCUUGGAAUGGACUCGGACUCUUAAUUCUCAAUUAACUGUUUCUUGAUGAAUUAGAUUUGUUUGGUAUAGGGCAAAGAAUGUCAAUUUCUAUGAAUCAAGAUAUUUGAUUAAAAAAUGUUAGUAGUUUUGGUUUCAGUUUGUGAUAUAUCACAAAUAAAUAAUAUAGAACCAUUUGUAUGAGGCUGAACAGUUAGUUGCAGACCGGUUUGUCUUGAACCAAUUUGCAAUCUGUUUGAGUUUUUAGUGAAUUAGGUUACUGUGAAUGGGACACAUGGUCUUAGAACACCUAACGCUCAUUAAAUCUAGCCAACCUACCUUGUAACGUUUUUCGCCGGUUUUUCUCACAAAAACUUGAUAUUUGUUUAAGCCCAUUACAGGCAUGAUCAGCACAAAGGGGAAAAUGAGGUGUAUGCUUUUUUUAAUAUAAUAUUUUAAUUCAAUACUCAUAACUCUGAUAGAUUCAAUUUUCUUUAAAUAAUUUCAUGCUAUUCUCAAAUUAUUAAAACAAACAGUUUAAAUACACAUCUAUAAUAACCUUUUAUAUGUCCGUCAGCUGUUUCUGUACCAUUAUAUGUAUAAAAUUAAACAAAUCUUUCUAUUACAUUUACUUGAAUUUUUUUUUGACUUUAAAUUUAUAUUUUAGUAGUUUCAAUAUAUUCAUAAUUUUAUCAUCCCAUCAUGAUUUUGAAGUAUUAAAAUGUCAUGGAAACUUAGAACCCCUAAAUUAUCCUUGCUAAAAUUGUUGAUGAGAAAUCGGUGCACUACUUUAACAUGCCUAUUAAAAGUGGGUCAAUUGACAUAGAUGGGCCUAUUAGUUUACAGCACCAAGCACCAAGGUAGGUUGUACAUUGAGCAAGUCCAUUUCACAUGAAGACUGUUCCAUUAUAUUUAGAAGUAUUUCAAGCUUAUUUGUCG